UACGAAGGGGGCUAGCGUUGUUCGGAAUCACUGGGCGUAAAGGGCGCGUAGGCGGCCGAUCAAGUCGGGGGUGAAAGCCUGUGGCUCAACCACAGAAUUGCCUUCGAUACUGUUUGGCUUGAGACCGGAAGAGGUUAGUGGAACUGCGAGUGUAGAGGUGAAAUUCGUAGAUAUUCGGAAGAACACCAGUGGCGAAGGCGACUUACUGGACACAUAUUGACGCUGAGGUGCGAAAGCGUGGGGAGCAAACAGG
rnacentral:rRNA from 1 species